AUGCAAGAGGCCGACCCACAAUCAACGGUUAGCAUAACAAACGACAAAGAAGAAGAAGAAACCAACGAAGAGGAGGAAUCACAAGCACUGCAAGACCAAGAGACAACCCGCGUUGAAAUUGAACCCCAUAGUGAACCUCAAACAAACGAAGGCGUCACAGAACAGGAAGUUUGUGUACAAGAGAUUUCUAGUGCCACAACAUUGCAGAUCACCAUCACGAGUAUAAAGGAGAAAGCCCAAGACAUCCCAGCCGAUGAGAAACUAGAGACUGUUAUACCUGACAAAGAAACAGUCGAUGCAGGCACGAAUAACCCAGUCAUCAACAUAGAGGAAACAAACGAGUACGUUGAUCUCGAAGAUCAAGAAGCAGCACAACCAAAGGAAACUGGAAAACACACAGAACUUCAAACAACAACAUCUGAAGAGGAAGAGGAAGCAAGCGAAAGCACUGGCAUAGACAUUGAACAAGAAAAACAACAGGACAACACGAGACAAGGAGAAACCGUAGUUCCAGCAGUAGACAGUCCUGCAACUCCAGAGAAAGAGGCACAAGAAGCUCAAGAGAGCACCAACAAUCAAGACCAUCAAACACAACCAGAGGAGCCCAAUGAACAACCCGAACAUGUUCUUCAAACGUCAGAGGAGGCCAGUGAGCAAAAGGAGGCCACUGAAGAAGGGCAUCAUGUUCUUCAAACGGCAGACAUCAACGUCACAGAAGACCAAGCCCCAAAAUAUUCACUCACUGAAAAACACGCAGCAGAGACGGCAGCAGCGACAACGACUGAAAAGCUCAACGAAGAACAAGCACAAUAG
rnacentral:rRNA from 1 species